rnacentral:rRNA from 1 species
ACGCUCGACACCUACUGGAGGCAGCAGUGGGGAAUAUUGCACAAUGGGGGAAACCCUGAUGCAGCGACGCCGCGUGAGCGAAGAAGUAUUUCGGUAUGUAAAGCUCUAUCAGCAGGGAAGAAAAUGACGGUACCUGACUAAGAAGCCCCGGCUAACUACGUGCCAGUAGCCGCGGUAAUACUGAGCGGGCGUGGCGAAGGACG